AAGGACUAAGCUUUGGUAUCUUAACUGCAUCUGCCUUUGGUUAUAUGACCAGCCAUUUGUUGAGCCCACCUGUCAUACACUCGAAGACAAUACACUCAAAAACAAGUGCAGUAAGUAACUAAGUUGCGUCCGCCUUGGAGAUGUAGCAAAAGAACCACGGUUUUGCUGAAACACAUAAGUAUUGCACAUCUGAAUCAUAUACUCUACUAAUAUUGUAUGGAAUCAUAUAAUCUUUACGUGAAAUUUUGUGUGGACUUUUUUUUAAUAUUUGAUUUAAUCAUUUAGACGAACAAUAACUAUGUCAUAUUUACCUGUGUCCUAGACACACACCAAAGGACAAUGCAACACCUGCCCAGUGAAACUGGGAAAGAGAUAGUAGCAGUACUUGAUCCGGUGAUGUGGACACACCACUCUACUAAUUAAAUGGCCAUUAAUUCUGUCUGGAGCAACAACAACAAAAAUCCUUAAUCAAUGCCCGCCAAUUAUGGUUAGUAGCAAUAUACACAUGC
rnacentral:lncRNA from 1 species